rnacentral:tRNA from 1 species
GCCGAGGUCGCCUAACCUGGUAGGGCAAUAGCCUGCUAAGCUAUGCCCCAAAAGGGCUUGUGGGUUCAAAUCCCAUCCUCGGCG